CACGUGAGGCGCAAGCGUUGUCCGGAAUUAUUGGGCGUAAGAGCUCGUAGCGGUCUGUUGCGUCCGCUGUGAAAACUCGGGGCUUAACCCCGAGCCUGCAGUGGAUACGGGCAGACUAGAGGUAGGUAGGGGAGAAUGGAAUUCCCGGUGUAGCGGUGAAAUGCGCGAUAUCGGAGGAACACCGGUGGCGAAGGCGGUUCUCUGGGCCUUACCUGACGCUGAGGAGCGAAAGCGUGGG
rnacentral:rRNA from 1 species